CCUACGGGAGGCAGCAGUGGGGAAUAUUGCACAAUGGGGGAAACCCUGAUGCAGCGACGCCGCGUGUGCGAGGAAAUAUUUCGGUAUGUAAAGUUCUAUCAGCAGGGACGAAAAAAGACGUUACCUGACUAAAAAGCCCCGGCUAAAAACGUGCCAGAAGCGGCGGUAAUACAGAGGGGGCAAGCGUUACCCGGUUGUACUGGGUGUAAAGGUAGCGUAGACGGCAAGUCAAGUCAGAAGUGAAAGGGCAGGGGUCAACCCUGUACAUGCUUUUGGAACUGUGGUGCUAGAGUGCAGGAGAGGUAAGUGGAAUUCCUAGGGUAGCGGUGAAAUGCGUAGAUAUUAGGAGGAACACCAGUGGCGAAGGCGGUUUACUGGACUGUAACUGACGUUGAGGCUCGAAAGCGUGGGGAGCAAACAGGAUUAGAUACCCCGGUAGUC
rnacentral:rRNA from 1 species